rnacentral:rRNA from 1 species
GGGCCCGCACAAGCAGUGGAGUAUGUGGAUUAAUUCGAUGCAACGCGAAGAACCUUACCAGGUCUUGACAUCUAACGAAUUCUUCAGAGAUGAGGAAGUGCCCUUCGGGGAGCGUUAAGACAGGUGGUGCAUGGUUGUCGUCAGCUCGUGUCGUGAGAUGUUGGGUUAAGUCCCGCAACGAGCGCAACCCUUAUGAUUAGUUGCUACGUAAGAGAACUCUAAUCAGACUGCCGUUGACAAAACGGAGGAAGGUGGGGAUGACGUCAAAUCAUCAUGCCCCUUAUGACCUGGGCCUCACACGUACUACAAUGGCUGUAAACAGAGGGAAGCGAAGCAGCGAUGUGGAGCAAAUCCCCAAAAGCAGUCUUAGUUCGGAUUGCAGGCUGAAACCCGCCUGCAUGAAGUCGGAAUUGCUAGUAAUCGCAGAUCAGCAUGCUGCGGUGAAUACGUUCCCGGGCCUU